CCUCUGUCUCUAUCUCCGAUUUCACCAACGGAUACGGAGGACAUCAACUCCCAGUAACCUUCCUCCUCAACCCUCCUUUGCUGUCUUGGGCAAGCAGAAGUCACCAAUUGCUCUCAGAUCUUGGCUAUCAUGGACCUUCUGUGGACCAAUGAGCUUAACCUGGCCAAUCUGCACACUGACAGUUGCCGUCUUGCCCGAGGAGAUCCAGAGCAUCUGCAAUGUUCCCUCACUCAUUCCAACAAAGCCUCUGCUGGGUUCGAUCCAGAGUAUGAGGCACUGCCCUAACCAUUAGAGAUGGAUGCCAUGUUGAAAAUAACCUCAAGUUUUCAGAAAGGAAUGGAUGGAUCCUGCUUCUUAUUGCUCCCUCCAGCAAGAUGGCGGUGGUACGCUUCAUCCUCCAGAUCACCACAACACCAGUCUGCAGUACCAUCGGGCAGCUGAUUAUGAUGAUGGUAGCCGGAAUCACCAGGACAAUGGUCCAGACUUCCAAUUUGUACAUUGACAUAAUUGAACCCGCCUUAUUGGGUUAAAGCACAGAAUGGAUUUAGAUUAAGGAAAUAAUAUGAGCCACUGAAUUCCAUCAUCACCAAAAAAGCAUACUAUCGUUUCUAAUUCCUCAGAAGACAAGGAUAUUUGACAUUAAUUUAUAGACUCGUACCAACUUCUACAGUUGAACUGUAGAAAACGUACUGCCGGGUUGUAUCACAGCUUGGUUUGGGAACAGCUUUGCCCAAGACCACAAGAAAUUGCAGAGUUGUGGAUCACUCCAGCACACAGACCAGACUUCCCACCGUUGAUUACAUCUACACUUCACUCC